rfam:Scleropages formosus scaffold28724, whole genome shotgun sequence.
GCUUAUGGCCAUACCACCGUGAAUAUGCCCGAUCUCGUCCGAUCUCGAAAGCCAAGGAGAGUCAGGCCUGGUUAGUACUUGGAUAGAAGACUGCCUGGGAAUAGCGCUGGAAUGUGCUGUUUGCU